ACUAGCAGUAAGAGUUUGAUCCUGGCUCAGGACGAACGCUGGCGGCGUGCCUAACACAUGCAAGUCGAACGGGACCGGGGGCAACUCCGGUUCAGUGGCGGACGGGUGCGUAACACGUGAGGAACAUGGACUUUCGGUGGGGGAUAGCCGGCCCAACGGCCGGGUAAUACCGCGUACGACCUUUCGGGGACAUCCCCGGUUGGUGAAAGCAGCAGUGCGCCGAAAGAGUGCCUCGCGGCCUAUCAGCUAGUUGGUGGGGUAAUGGCUCACCAAGGCAACGACGGGUAGCUGGUCUGAGAGGAUGGCCAGCCACAUUGGGACUGAGACACGGCCCAGACUCCUACGGGAGGCAGCAGUGGGGAAUAUUGGACAAUGGGGGCAACCCUGAUCCAGCGACGCCGCGUGUGUGAAGAAGGCCUGCGGGUUGUAAAGCACUUUUAGUGGGGAUGAAAAGCUCGGGGAUAACACCUCCGGGUCUUGACCUAACCCACAGAAAAAGCACCGGCUAACUCUGUGCCAGCCGCCGCGGUAAUUC
rnacentral:rRNA from 1 species